GGCGUAGCUCAAUUGGCAGAGCAGCUGAAUCGUAAUCAGCAGGUUGCGGGUUCAAGUCC
rnacentral:tRNA from 1 species